CGCCUUGGCGGCUGCUACCAUGCAGUCGAACGAUGAAGCCCUUCGGGGUGGAUUAGUGGCGAACGGGUGAGUAACACGUGGGCAAUCUGCCCUUCACUCUGGGACAAGCCCUGGAAACGGGGUCUAAUACCGGAUACCACUCCUGCCCGCAUGGGUGGGGGUUGAAAGCUCCGGCGGUGAAGGAUGAGCCCGCGGCCUAUCAGCUUGUUGGUGGGGUAAUGGCCCACCAAGGCGACGACGGGUAGCCGGCCUGAGAGGGCGACCGGCCACACUGGGACUGAGACACGGACCAGACUCCUACGGGAGGCAGCAGUGGGGAAUAUUGCACAAUGGGCGAAAGCCUGAUGCAGCGACGCCGCGUGAGGGAUGACGGCCUUCGGGUUGUAAACCUCUUUCAGCAGGGAAGAAGCGAAAGUGACGGUACCUGCAGAAGAAGCGCCGGAUAACUACGUGCCAACAACCGCGGUAAUACGUAGGGCGCAAGCGUGGUCCGGAAUUAUUGGGCGUAAAGAGCUCGUAGACGGCUUGUCACGUCGGAUGUGAAAGCCCGAGGCUUAACCUCGGGUCUGCAUUCGAUACGGGCUAGCUAGAGUGUGGUACGGGAGAUCGGAAUUCCUGGUGUAGCGGUGAAAUGCGCAGAUAUCAGGAGGAACACCGGUGGCGAAAGCGGAUCUCUGGGCCAUUACUGACGCUGAGGAGCGAAAGCGUGGGGAGCGAACAGGAUUAGAUACCCUGGUAGUCCACGCCGUAAACGUUGCGAACUAGGUGUUGGCGACAUUCCACGUCGUCGGUGCCGCAGCUAACGCAUUAAGUUCCCCGCCUGGGGAGUACGGCCGCAAGGCUAAAACUCAAAGGAAUUGACGGGGGCCCGCACAAGCAGCGGAGCAUGUGGCUUAAUUCGACGCAACGCGAAGAACCUUACCAAGGCUUGACAUAUACCGGAAAGCAUUACAGAUAGUGCCCCCCUUGUGGUCAGAAUACAGGUGGGGCAUGGCUGCCGUCAGCUCGGGGCGUGAGAAGUUGGGUUAAGUCCCGCAACGAACGCAACCCUUGUACUGUGGUGCCAGCAUGCCCUUCGGGGUGAUGGGGACUCACAGGAGACCGCCGGGGUCAACUCGGAGGAAGGUGGGGGCGACGUCAAGUCAUCAUGCCCCUCAUGUCUUGGGCUGCACACGUGCUACAAUGGCCGGUACAAUGAGCUGCGAUACCGCAAGGUGGAGCGAAUCUCAAAAAGCCGGUCUCAGUUCGGAUUGGGGUCUGCAACUCGACCCCAUGAAGUCGGAGUUGCUAGUAAUCGCAGAUCAGCAUUGCUGCGGUGAAUACGUUCCCGGGCCUUGUACACCCCGCCCGUCACGUCACGAAAGUCGGUAACACCCGAAGCCGGUGGCCCAACCCGUAAGGGAGGGAGCGUCGAAGGUGAACUAACUUA
rnacentral:rRNA from 1 species